rnacentral:rRNA from 1 species
ACGGAGGGUGCAAGCGUUAUCCGGAUUCACUGGGUUUAAAGGGUGCGUAGGUGGGUUUGUAAGUCAGUGGUGAAAUCUCCAAGCUUAACUUGGAAACUGCCGUUGAUACUAUAAAUCUUGAAUGUUGUGGAGGUGAGCGGAAUAUGUCAUGUAGCGGUGAAAUGCUUAGAUAUGACAUAGAACACCAAUUGCGAAGGCAGCUCACUACACAAAGAUUGACACUGAGGCACGAAAGCGUGGGGAUCAAACAGGA